GAUGAACGCUAGCUACAGGCUUAACACAUGCAAGUCGAGGGGCAUCAGGAAGAAAGCUUGCUUUCUUUGCUGGCGACCGGCGCACGGGUGAGUAACACGUAUCCAACCUGCCCUUUACUCGGGGAUAGCCUUUCGAAAGAAAGAUUAAUACCCGAUAGCAUAAUGAUUCCGCAUGGUUUCAUUAUUAAAGGAUUCCGGUAAAGGAUGGGGAUGCGUUCCAUUAGGUUGUUGGUGGGGUAACGGCCCACCAAGCCUUCGAUGGAUAGGGGUUCUGAGAGGAAGGUCCCCCACAUUGGAACUGAGACACGGUCCAAACUCCUACGGGAGGCAGCAGUGAGGAAUAUUGGUCAAUGGGCGCUAGCCUGAACCAGCCAAGUAGCGUGAAGGAUGAAGGCUCUAUGGGUCGUAAACUUCUUUUAUAUAAGAAUAAAGUGCAGUAUGUAUACUGUUUUGUAUGUAUUAUAUGAAUAAGGAUCGGCUAACUCCGUGCCAGCAGCCGCGGUAAUACGGAGGAUCCGAGCGUUAUCCGGAUUUAUUGGGUUUAAAGGGAGCGUAGGUGGACUGGUAAGUCAGUUGUGAAAGUUUGCGGCUCAACCGUAAAAUUGCAGUUGAUACUGUCAGUCUUGAGUACAGUAGAGGUGGGCGGAAUUCGUGGUGUAGCGGUGAAAUGCUUAGAUAUCACGAAGAACUCCGAUUGCGAAGGCAGCUCACUGGACUGCAACUGACACUGAUGCUCGAAAGUGUGGGUAUCAAACAGGAUUAGAUACCCUGGUAGUCCACACAGUAAACGAUGAAUACUCGCUGUUUGCGAUAUACAGUAAGCGGCCAAGCGAAAGCAUUAAGUAUUCCACCUGGGGAGUACGCCGGCAACGGUGAAACUCAAAAGGAAUUGACGGGGGCCCGCACAAGCGGAGGAACAUGUGGUUUAAUUCGAUGAUACGCGAGGAACCUUACCCGGGCUUAAAUUGCAGUGGAAUGAUGUGGAAACAUGUCAGUGAGCAAUCACCGCUGUGAAGGUGCUGCAUGGUUGUCGUCAGCUCGUGCCGUGAGGUGUCGGCUUAAGUGCCAUAACGAGCGCAACCCUUAUCUUCAGUUACUAACAGGUCAUGCUGAGGACUCUGGAGAGACUGCCGUCGUAAGAUGUGAGGAAGGUGGGGAUGACGUCAAAUCAGCACGGCCCUUACGUCCGGGGCUACACACGUGUUACAAUGGGGGGUACAGAAGGCAGCUAGCGGGUGACCGUAUGCUAAUCCCAAAAGCCUCUCUCAGUUCGGAUCGAAGUCUGCAACCCGACUUCGUGAAAGCUGGAUUCGCUAGUAAUCGCGCAUCAGCCACGGCGCGGUGAAUACGUUCCCGGGCCU
rnacentral:rRNA from 1 species